rnacentral:rRNA from 1 species
GACGAACGCUGGCGGCGUGCUUAACACAUGCAAGUCGAACGGAAAGGCCCUGCUUUUGUGGGGUGCUCGAGUGGCGAACGGGUGAGUAACACGUGAGUAACCUGCCCUUGACUUUGGGAUAACUUCAGGAAACUGGGGCUAAUACCGGAUAGGAGCUCCUGCUGCAUGGUGGGGGUUGGAAAGUUUCGGCGGUUGGGGAUGGACUCGCGGCUUAUCAGCUUGUUGGUGGGGUAGUGGCUUACCAAGGCUUUGACGGGUAGCCGGCCUGAGAGGGUAACCGGCCACAUUGGGACUGAGAUACGGCCCAGACUCCUACGGGAGGCAGCAGUGGGGAAUAUUGCACAAUGGGCGGAAGCCUGAUGCAGCAACGCCGCGUGCGGGAUGACGGCCUUCGGGUUGUAAACCGCUUUCGCCUGUGGCGAAGCGUGAGUGACGGUAAUGGGUAAAGAAGCACCGGCUAACUACGUG